GCGACGUGACCAGGAGGAGGUCCAGGCACCGGUCUUCACAGAAGUGGAUGUGGGCUCUUUGGGGAGUGGGUGGUGAACAUUGACUGUGGUGACAGUUUUAUAACUCUAUGAAUAUACUUCAGUCCAUGUGGGAGCCUGUACUUUUCACCAAUACCGUAUCCCCGUCUCUGAUAACAGAAAUAAUAGUUACAACCAAGACUGGGAGCUAUGGCUGCAAUUUAUCUUGACCACUAGCCCAGCUCUGUGCUAAGCCCGUGUCUCAGGUAUUCCUAGCACACAACUCAUGAGGUUGUAACUAUUUUUAUUUUGAGUUAUACGGGUGAGGAAACGGGAGAGGAGGUUAGUUGGGCUGCCAGAGGUGACACAACCAAGGCAGUUCUAAAGGCUAGGACUGUCCCAGCCCGAAGUCUGGGCUCUUGGUCAUCACCCAUGCACUGUGUGUGUUGCAGCCUGCCCAGCCAGGACUGAUCAUUUUGGUUCUCACCCAGGAGCCCUGUGACUCAAGCUGAGAUGGGAUGGUGUGGAUGGUGUGGAGAGGUGGCUGGCCCCUUGUGAGCUCCAAGGAUGCUUCUACAGGCCCUGUGUGAUAACCCAGCAAUUUUAUAGAAAAGGAGAGAGGAGCACACCCAGGGAAGAGGACUCCAUGUGAUGAAGGAGGCAGAGUCUGGAGGGAUGUGGCUGCAAGCCAAGGAAUGCCAAGGAUUGCUGGCCACCACCAGAAGCUGGGAAGAGGCAAGGAAGAAGGCUUCCCAGAGUCCCAGAGGGAACGCUGAAACCUUGAUUUUGGAUUUCCAGCCUCCAGAACUGUGAGACAAUAAACAUCUGCUGUCUUAAACCACACUGUGUGUGGUGUUUGGUUCUAACAGCCCUAGAAUACUGGUACACCAACUUCUGCCCUGCCCCACCAUUUCAGCCUGACCUAUAUUUUUUCCUUUAAAAAUGCUAGUACCUGCACUAAGGUUAGCAUCCAGGCCCAAAUGCCUGAGAGCCAUUCUGUCUCAAGACGCCUUGGCAUCACUCCGCUCCUGUCCAUGUUGUGUUUGUCAUGUAGGGUGCCUAUCGCUGGAAAGUCUUCAGUUGCCCAAUUGCAGGCUGGGAGUUGGGACUGUUGUCCUCAGAACUAGAACAAUUCAGUUCUCCCAGCAUUUCACUUACAUUCUCAUCAGAUCUUUCAACAGCACUGUAACAUUGCUGUCCUUCUGAGGUUAUUUUUACAGACAUUUUAGAUGAAUCUGUCAACUCCGUAGCCCAUUUCUACCCUCAGGCCAUGGGAAUCCCUCAGGAGGCCACAUGUUCCUUCACCCACAGUCUGGAAGCAGCCGAUGGGACUAGAGUUUACUUUCUCAUCACUCAGAGAGCUCAGUCCACCGGCCUUUUAUCCCAGGGUGUUUGACAUUUUACCCGAGGAAAGUGGAAG